GACGUAGGGCGCGAGCGUUAUCCGGAAUCAUUGGGUUUAAAGGGUCCGUAGGCGGUUUGGUAAGUCAGUGGUGAAAGCCCAUCGCUCAACGGUGGAACGGCCAUUGAUACUGCCAGACUUGAAUUAUUAGGAAGUAACUAGAAUAUGCAGUGUAGCGGUGAAAUGCUUAGAGAUUACAUGGAAUACCAAUUGCGAAGGCAGGUUACUACUAAUGGAUUGACGCUGAUGGACGAAAGCGUGGGUAGCGAACAGG
rnacentral:rRNA from 1 species